CUAGGGUCAUUUAGAGGAAGUAAAAGUCGUAACAAGGUUUCCGUAGGUGAACCUGCGGAAGGAUCAUUACAAAUCGGUUCGGUUGGUUUGUGGGGGGGGCUCCACUGUGGACCCUCACUGAGAAAUCCUCACUGAGAAUCUUCACUGGACACCCCACUGCGGCUGACACAUUAGCACAGGGCCGCAAGGCCUUGAUGUUUACGCUUGCAUGUUUGACAGAGUUAAAUUGUGACCUUAAAUGACAACUUUUAACAACGGAUCUCUUGGCUCUUGCAACGAUGAAGAACGCAGUAAAGUGCGAUAUGUAGUGCGAUUUGCAUGAAUCUGUGAGUCAUCUAAUCUUUGAACGCAACUUGCGCCUCGCCGAGGCAUGUCUGUUUGAGCGCCGCAUACUCUAUGCAGCAAUGCGAUGUGGUCCAUGUCGACUAGACUGGGCCUAAACGGAGCCAGAGAAUGGUCGGCGAGACUAGCCCGAGUGCUAAGCUAAGCAUUGCAUUCUUGGGCCUGGCUCGACGGCCACAAUCUAUCAUCUAUUGGCCUCAAAUCAGGCAAGACUACCCGCUGAACUUAAGCAUAUCAAUAAGCGGAGGAA
rnacentral:rRNA from 1 species